GUGGGGAAUCUUGCGCAAUGGGCGAAAGCCUGACGCAGCCAUGCCGCGUGAAUGAUGAAGGUCUUAGGAUUGUAAAAUUCUUUCACCGGGGACGAUAAUGACGGUACCCGGAGAAGAAGCUCCGGCUAACUUCGUGCCAGCAGCCGCGGUAAUACGAAGGGGGCUAGCGUUGCUCGGAAUUACUGGGCGUAAAGGGCGCGUAGGCGGACAGUUUAGUCAGAGGUGAAAGCCCAGGGCUCAACCUUGGAAUUGCCUUUGAUACUGGCUGUCUUGAGUUUGGGAGAGGUGAGUGGAACUCCGAGUGUAGAGGUGAAAUUCGUAGAUAUUCGGAAGAACACCAGUGGCGAAGGCGACUCACUGGCCCAAUACUGACGCUGAGGCGCGAAAGCGUGGGGAGCAAACAGGAUUAGAUACCCUGGUAGUCC
rnacentral:rRNA from 1 species